rnacentral:rRNA from 1 species
GAUGAACGCUAGCGGCAGGCUUAAUACAUGCAAGUCGUGGGGCAGCAGGGGUGUAGCAAUACACUCGCUGGCGACCGGCAAACGGGUGCGGAACACGUACGCAACCUACCCAAAACUGGGGGAUAGCCCGGGGAAACCCGGAUUAAUACCUCGUAACAUAAUGGAGUGGCAUCACUUUAUUAUUAUAGCUCCGGCGGUUUUGGAUGGGCGUGCGCCUGAUUAGGUAGUUGGCGGGGUAACGGCCCACCAAGCCUGCGAUCAGUAACUGGUGUGAGAGCACGACCAGUCACACGGGCACUGAGACACGGGCCCGACUCCUACGGGAGGGCAGCAGUAAGGAAUAUUGGUCAAUGGACGCAAGUCUGAACCAGCCGAUAGUCGCGUGAA